rnacentral:rRNA from 1 species
GAUGAACUCUGGCGGCGUGCCUAAUACAUGCAAGUCGAGCAAAGUGGGGACGGUUGAGUCACACGUGGAUAACCUCCUAUAAGCCUGGGAUAACUUCGGUAAACCGGCACUAAACCGGAUAAUUAUCGAUGUCUCCGCGCUGCAUUAGCUAGUUGUUAAGGUAACGGCUUCACAAGGCAACGAUGCAUAGCCGACCUGAGAGGGUUAUCGGCCACACUGGAACUUAGACACGGUCCAGACGCCUACGGGAGGCAGCAGUAGGGAAGCUGCCGCAAUGGGCGAAAGCCUGACGGAGCAACGCCGCGUGAGUGAUGAAGGUCUUCGGAUCGUAAAACUCUGUUAUUAGGGAAGCGGUACCUAAUCAGAAAGCCACGGCUAACUACGUGCCAGCAGCCGCGGUAAUAC